rnacentral:misc_RNA from 1 species
AAGGAGGACCAGGAGAGCGGGCGAGCGCAAGCGCCUGUCCGAUCGAUGCCCGUCUCCCGCGUAUAAAGCUCUCGUCCUCGGGGGGCGCGCGACAGUUAGCGUUCCGCAUCCGGAACAUGCGUCGCGCCGCGUGCCGAUCGCGCUGGGAACAUCUCGUCGUUAUCGUCCUCGUUAGUGCGGCUCACGUCAACAGCGAUAUCCGUCGCGAAUACAACCGUCGUCGUCUAAUCGUGCUCCGAUCGUGCGCGCCGAUCUCGCGAAUAGCCAAGGAACGGCGGGUUCCUCUCGCGCUCCGCGGAUCGCUGGAUCCUCGCAGGACACUUGGGACGCGAAGAUUUCCCUGUCCCUUUAUCGUCGAUAAAGAAGAGGCGACAAGUAAUGUAGAGUCGGACCGACGACGUCGCCUGGCCUCCCAGUGAGGAUCUUCUUCCCGUCGAAGUCUUCCUUCCGACGCGAUUCUUCUUGGUCGCGGAGCAAAGUAUCGGAAUCCCCAAUCGUGCGUCAGUGAAUGGUGAAUCGAAACGCAUCUGGCGCGAGCAGCGACGUCGCCGUCGAAAGGGAGAGUCGGUUACAACAAGUAAUUCCUCGAUUGCGGAUCGCUCUCGUAAAGUCAGAAUGCCAAUUGCUUCUUGCGGACGUGUCGCAUAAUCAUCUUCCUUCUCUUCGCUGAGGAGAGUCAUUCCCUCGUUCGAUAGGCUGUCUCUGACUCUGUGACGUUCUCUGGACCCGCGACAUCCCUCGCGAAUAACCGAUGUGAGAUCACGAAGCGAGGCGUCGAUUUCCGCUGUCGCGCCGGAGUAGAUCGAGGACCCGGAUUCGGCGCCGGGAACAGCUUCGUUGCUGGAUCGUAUCCGGGGACGCGUCACCGACAUUCAUCCCGCGCGGGACCCGUCAUCCGGGCAGGCGACGUCAGAUCGGCGAUCGUUCGAUCGUCCGGCGGACGUCUCGGCCGCCGCGCGAAGAACCGGCGGUGUCAGGCGGAGACGUAGAGGCGGCGGGAGAGGAGGAGGGGGAGGAGGAAGAGGAGGAAGUGGUAGUGCUGGUGCUGCUGGUGGUGGCGGCGGUGGUGCAGGAGGAAGGCCCACGGACGUGCAACAAGUUAAGAGGCCGCCGCCGUCGACGUCGCUGUCGCCGCCAGCGUCCUCGUCACGAUGUGACAUGGAUAUCCUCGCCGUAGCCUGCGCCCUCGUCGCGACGGCACUCUACUGCAAUACCCUGCAAGCGGGUUUCGUCUACGAUGACCGAAGAGCUAUCUUGACGAACCCUGAUCUACUGGCGAGCACACCGUGGUACCGGUUGCUUGAGAAUGAUUUUUGGGGAACACCACUGACGGAACGUGGUUCGCACGGCAGUUAUCGACCGCUCUGCGUGGCCACUUUUCGUCUGAAUCAUUCUCUAGGUGGCCUUGAACCUUGGGGCUAUCAUCUGGUGAAUGUGGCCUUGCACGCUGUUUGUACCAUUCUCGUGGUCAAGGUUGCCAGAAAGGUCCUGCCAGGAAGGAGCAAUCUCGCGCACGCGAUCACGGGUUUCCUGUUUGCGGUCCAUCCCAUUCACAGCGAGGCUGUGGCCGGUAUAGUCGGACGUGCCGACCUUCUUGCCUGCUUCCUGACCUUGACAUCUUUCUUGACGUACUCGGCCCAUUGUAAUCGCACGAGAUCGCCGUUUCCUCUACUGUUGGCCUUGGUGUCAUCGACGUUGGCUACUCUCGCCAAAGAAACUGGUAUAUCAUCUCUGGCUCUCUGCCUUCUGUGGGAGCUCUGUCGCGGCGAGCCAAGUCGAAAGGGCAAUUGCGGAUUCACUCGGGGUCGGAGUGUCAGCAUUCUGUCGGGCGGUCUGGCGCUACUCGCACUAGGUCGGCUAAGGCUCGUAGGCAACAGGCCCGAGUUUGCGAGCGCGGACAAUCCGGCGGCGAGGCAUCCUUCACGGCUGACACGCGGCCUGACGUUCCUGUAUCUUCCGGCGGCCAGCGCGAGAAUGCUACUGUGUCCGAGCACGUUGAGCUUCGACUGGUCGAUGGACGCCGUGCCGCGCAUAACGAGCCUGUUGGACCCGCGUAAUCUAGAAUCGGUGUGCCUGUACGUCGCCCUGAUCGGCGCCGUUUUCUGGGCCGUCAGGAGUCUGCGACGACGUCAUCGAAACUCGUCGAUGCUGGGUCAGCAGGCAUAUUCGCGCAUGGUUACGUCAUCCAGGUGUCCCGUGUGCGCCGGUAGACGCACCGGCGGCUGUCACACUGACGGCUGCAGGGCGGCCAACAACAAUAACAACAGUCCGCUCGGUGAUUGUCAUUGUGCCAAGAGGCCGAGCAGCAACGGCGGCGUUAACAUUGGUGGCCGGCAAACGGCGGCAACCGCCGUCGCCGUCUCCCUGGGCUUCCUCGUGCUCCCCUUCCUACCGGCGAGCAAUUUGUUCUUCUACGUGGGCUUUGUCAUAGCCGAGAGGAUACUGUACCUGCCCAGCGUGGGCGCCUGUCUGGUCGUCGGCGCCGCGGUGUCCGGAUGCUAUCGGAUAGCGAGAAGAAACGGGUCCAAAACGCGCGGCAGGGCGGUGCUGCUGGCGACAGCGAUCCUCAUCGGCGUGAUGUCGGCGAAGACGCUCGUCAGAAACGCUGACUGGAGGGAUGAGGAGAGCCUGUACAGGUCCGCGCUGCAUGUCAAUCCGCCAAAAGCUUAUGGUAAUUUGGGGAGCAUUCUCAGCGAACAAGGUCGAAUAGCGGAAGCGGAAGAAGCGUUCGUCCAAGCUCUUCGCUAUCGACCGAAUAUGGCAGACGUGCACUACAACCUAGGCAUCUUACAGCAGGGCAGGAAGAAUUACGAAGAGGCGAUUUUGAGUUAUCAACGAGCCAUUCAUUUCCGGCCUUCGUUAGCUCAGGCUUACGUAAAUCUGGGGGCUGCGCUGAUUUCGGUCGGACGCGGCACGGAAGCGGCUGCGGUUUUGCGCGCCGGUGCAUCCUUGGAUGGUUCCGGACUGAAGGACAAAAGGGCUCACGAGGCGGCCAAGGUGCAGGCCCUCCUUCAAUUAGGCGCACUGUAUGCCGAUCAGGGUAGAUUACAAAGAGCCCUGUCAGCAUACAGGGAAGCCCUGCGCUCCCUGCCGGAUCACUAUCCACCUCAGAGCGUGUAUAAUCUGCUAGGCGAAACGCUGUCCAGACUGCAACAGUACGCGGAGGCCGAGAGGUGGUUCCAGGCGAGUUUGGCCAGCCAGCCUGACCACGUGCCGGCCCACAUCACUUAUGGGAAACUUUUGGCACGGAACAACAAGCUCCUCAGCCGGUAGCAACCGCCAGGGGGAGGGGGGACAGACAGGGCUAUCGAGUUCGCGGUGGCUCACAAGUCGCCUCUGCUUUCUCUCUCUUUAGUCGAGCCGUGUUCUGGAAGCGGAAAGAUGGUUCCUGAGGGCCCGCAGAUUGGCACCGGACGACCCCAGCGUGCACCAUCAUUACGGGCUGUUCCUGACGUCGCAGGGCCGAUUAGUGGAAGCUGCCGAGGAGCAACUACGAGCAGCCGAGCUGUCGCGAUCCGACUACGA